rnacentral:lncRNA from 1 species
UCCAUCCGCACCCCUCUUCCUUUCGAAGACCCACUUACACCCUAUGGAUUUAACCCCUUCAGGUGGGUCAACUAAUGUCCAUACAUCAUUGAUCUUCAUGGACUCCAUUUUGAAUUUUAUGACUUCAAGUGAUUUAUCAGAGUCGGACCUCUGCAUUGCAUCUAUAUAGGUGAUCAGAUCCUUAUUGUUCUUAUCGAGACAGGAUCUCC